UACGUAGGGUGCGAGCGUUGUCCGGAAUUAUUGGGCGUAAAGGGCUCGUAGGCGGUUUGUCGCGUCAGGAGUGAAAACCUUGGGCUUAACUCAGGGCUUGCUUUCGAUACGGGCAGACUAGAGGUAUGCAGGGGAGAACGGAAUUCCUGGUGUAGCGGUGAAAUGCGCAGAUAUCAGGAGGAACACCGGUGGCGAAGGCGGUUCUCUGGGCAUGAUCUGACGUUGAGGAGCGAAAGUGUGGGGAGCGAACAGG
rnacentral:rRNA from 1 species